UUCCUGCCUUUGAGGGUUGGAGUUCCUUUCGGAACUGAGGAAUGUUGUUAUCUUAUCUGUGGAGUUCGGCUUGAGCUUUCGCUGAAGAUGGACUAUGAAAGCUAUGCUCUGAAGCCGAGAAAUGCAAACUGUAAAUAGACAUGUAAAUAAAGUUAAUCAACAGUUGGACUUUGUCUGCUGGAGUGUUAUGUUUGACCAGUGCUGUUUCUCAGCAUGGGAAUACAGUCUGGAGAAGGAGGUGAGGUGAGGAUGAUGUUUUUGGAAUCCACUCUGCACCCCAUCAUCCCCCGACAGAUUUUCUCACCCUCGCAGUGAUGUUGACCGGCUAUAUCUGCCUAGAAGAUCAGGGGGCAGAGGACUCUUGCAAGUAAAACAAGUAGUCAAAGAAGAAGAACAUGCCCUGGCAGAAGAUGGAAAGCAAAGUGAAGAACCUGCUUUGAUUGAAGUAAAAAAUCAGAAACUUCUCAAGGCACAACAGACAAAAGCCCAGUACAAGAAAACUGCACUACAAACUAGAGCUGACAGCUGGCACAACAAAGCAUUGCAUGGAAAGUUCCUUGACAAAAUUGAAGGAAAAGCUGAUAAGGAGAAGACCUGGCUCUGGCUCACGAAUGGGACCCUGAAGAAGGAGACAGAAGGCCUGAUCCUUGCAGCCCAGGAGCAAGACAUCAGGACAAAGGCAAUUCAGGCCAAGAUCGAAAAAUCAGCUGAUGACCCAAAAUGCCGACUGUGCAAGGAAACCGACGAAACCAUGAAUCAUUUUCUCAACUGUGUAAGAAAAUCGCACAGACAGACUACAAACAGAGACACAACUAUGUGACUCAAAUGAUCCAUUGGAACUUAUGCCUCAAGUACCACCUCCCAGCAGCAAAGAACUGGUGGGAUCACAAACCUGCAAAAGUAUUGGAAAAUGAGCAAGCAAAGAUACUGUGGGACUUCCGAAUCCAGACUGACAAAGUUCUGGAACACAACACACCAGACAUCACAGUUGUGGAAAGGAAAAAGGUUUGGAUCAUUGAUGUCGCCAUCCCAGGUGACAGUCGCAUUGACGAAAAACAACAGGAAAAACUCAGCCGCUAUCAGGACCUCAAGAUUGAACUUCAAAGACUCUGGCAGAAACCAGUGCAGGUGGUCCCAGUGGUGAUGGGCACACUGGGUGCCGUGCCAAAAGAUCUCAGCCGGCAUUUGGAAACAAUAGACAUUGACAAAAUUACGAUCUGCAAAAGGCCACCUGACUGGGAUCUGCACGCAUCAUCCGAAAACACAUCACACAGUCCUAGACACUUGGGAAGUGUUCGACUUGUGAUUUUGUGAUACGAAAUCCAGCAUGUCUAUCUUGUUUGCUGUGUCAUACAAUAUAAUAAUAAUAAUAAUAAUAAUAAUAAUAAUAAUAAUAAUAAUAAUAAUAUAGGACCUUAUACAUGCUAAAGUAGGGUUUCGUAAAGUACGUGGCUUUGGUUAUUUUGUUCUUCGUCCAGCACCUUACGGAAUUCAAUGUUUGCUGAUUUGUUAUAUGGGGAGAUAGGGCGGGAUAUAAAUAAAGUAUUUUUAUUAUUAUUA